CUCGGAUUUACAUUACUUUUAAGAAGGCCUGCUUAAUUGGAGCCUGGCAGGACAGUCUAAAUAUACCGCAGAUGGGCUUCUAUCAAGGUUUCUCCGUCAUACAUUGAGACUGUCAUCACUGGUUUGCAUAAAACGUGAGUCCAUCAGGAGCAGCAGGUGUGUAUAGCGGGCCUUUAAAUCCCAGCUUAUUCCCAGCAGGUGUGCUGAACAUAACGAGCCUUGGUAAGUGCAGGGAAACACAGCACAUCCAUGCUUCCAGCUGAGAAACACAAAAUAGAAGUUGAUAUUGUGCACAUCAAUGGCUGGUAAUGCUGGUUCAUUUAUUUUGCUGCUGCAGGAUUAUGAUGUGACCCUAUCCAUUAAUGGUUUGGCAGCAACCACCGAUCAGUAAUUGCACCAAAAAUGUCAAUUUAGUGCAAGACAGGAGGAAAAUAUGGCAAAGCAUUACAAUUCAAGUGCCAAAUUCAAUGACUAAAUUUACUGAAUGGUGACAAGAAUUUGUUUUUCUUAGCUAGAAAUAAGUCAAGAGAGGAAUAAAGAGUACAAAAAAUCAUACUGAGUAAAUGUAUAAAUUCCUUACUGCAAAACUUACUCCAUUAUAAGUUAAAAGUCACCAAUGUGACUUGAGUACAAGUGUUAGAGUAACUGAUUUGAACAGUACUUGAGUAUUUGACUCAUUUUGAACGUAGGCUCAAAAGUGCACUAGUCCUUAUCACCAAGACACAUGUUAGUGAAAAGCUAAAAGCUGUUAAUUUGUAAGGUUUUAUUUCCGAAAAUACAAAUUAAAUUGCACACCUCAACACUGCAUUUACCAAAAUCAACAUAACAACCACUUUACCAAAAUCUGCUCUUCUGCAGAAUAAAUUAAAUUAAUUGUAAUUGGUAACGGUCAUUGUCAAUUAAAAUAUAGUGGAGUAAACAUGCCAAAUUUUGACUCGUACAUGUAGUUGAUUAGAGAGUAAACAUUGCUUAUAUCUUUAAUACUCAGUAAAAGUAUGAAAUAGAUCGACUGUUUUAUGUGCCACAUUUGGUAUCUCAUACCAUCAAAAUUCAGAGCAUAGGAACAUUGUGUUUCCAGUCAAGUUUGUAUUUUAAUUUCUAUUAAUUGUCUCCAAAAAGAAUUCAAUUUAUGCAGAAACUUUUUCAACUUAUCUGCAUAAAGAAAACAAGCACUCCAAGCUCACAUAGUCCAGAGGUUAUUUAUUUAUUUAUUUUAUAUGAAAGUUUUUUUCCAUUUUAAGUCUUCUAUAUGAGUCUGUAUUUUAAAUUUAUAUUAUUUAAUCAUUGAAAAGAAUUUAUAUUGAUAUGAGUUGCGUAGUUGCUCGGGCCUGGUUGUGGUUUGGGAAAUGAAGACCACGCAACGUUCAGGAACAUGUAACAAACAAGAGUGUUGUUAGUGUGAACCCUCAAAUCUAAUUGAUUGGUCAGAAGCUAAAGCUAAAGCAGUGGCUGCUGUAAAUAUUUCUAUUUUUUAUCAGUAUUUUUAUGAUGAAAACAAAAAAAAUUUAAGACAUCGAUUUAGAAUUUAGAGUUUCAAAUGUCAGAGGUAAAACUGUAACUUAUGUUUUCUGAAACAGAAAAAAAAUGAUUGAUUUGAAGUUUGUUAGUAACUUUUUGGGGUUGGCUAUUUUUUUGUUUGUUUGAUUAACUUCAAGAGUUAGUAUGUAUUUUUGUGAAUUUUCUUCAGCAUUAAAUAUAACAUUAUUAGGUGAAGUUGGAGCUUAGUGGAUGAGAUGUUGGACUUUAUUAGUUUACUUUAUUAUUAGAUUGAAAGGUUAUUAGUUCAAAUCCCAUCAUUACCAAGCUGCCACUGUUGGGCCCUCAUAUAAAAUGAGAAAAUUGUUCAGUCAGUCUGGAUAAGGGCAUCUGCCAUAUUCCAUAAAUGUAAAUGUACAUAGAUAGGUGUGUCCCAUUCUUAAAUCUGAACCCAUGCCACCUGUCAACUUGCCAAAUUG